rnacentral:rRNA from 1 species
AGCAGCCGCGGUAAUUCCAGCUCCAAUAGCGUAUAUUAAAGUUGCUGCAGUUAAAAAGCUCGUAGUUGAAUUUCGGGACUGAUAUGUCGGUCGUGCCUCGGUACGUACUGGUAUUUUUGGUUUCUCCCUUCUGACGAACCUUGAUGUCAUUAAUUCGGUGUCUUGGGAAAUCAGGACUGUUACUUUGAAAAAAUUAGAGUGUUUAAAGCAGGCUCACGCUUGAAUACAUUAGCAUGGAAUAAUGAAAUAGGACGUUUGAUUCUAUUUUGUUGGUUUCUAGGAUCGACGUAAUGAUUAAUAGGGAUAGUUGGGGGCAUUAGUAUUCAAUUGUCAGAGGUGAAAUUCUUGGAUUUAUUGAAGACUAACUACUGCGAAAGCAUUUGCCAAGGAUGUUUUCAUUAAUCAAGAACGAAAGUUAGGGGAUCGAAGACGAUCAGAUACCGUCGUAGU